AAAAAAAAAAAAUUGAGUCCUAAUAAUAUGAAAAUUUCAACCAUAAGAGAAAUAUGUUUACAAGCAGUUUGAUUGGGAAAGGGAGGAAAAAAUUCACAGGAAUGUCAUUUAGUCAGGACAAGUCAUUCAGAUUGGGAAAAGGAAUGAGGGGAUAAAGGAACAGCAUAAGCAUCUCCAAAGGAGAUGUAGCAAAAUGCGUACAAGCUAUGGCCUUGAGAAAGCAGAGAUAGGGUUGUCAACUUCAGACGUGCAGGAUUUUGACCAAAGUAAAACCUUCCAACACCAACAGACUGAAAUUCUCACCCUCCAGCCAAAUUACCUAAAUUUUAAUUUCAGGGGGUAAUUUCAGUUAGACAAGUAGAGCACGUUAGGUUAGAGGAU
rnacentral:misc_RNA from 1 species